rnacentral:rRNA from 1 species
GAUGAACGCUAGCUACAGGCUUAACACAUGCAAGUCGAGGGGUAACAAGAGAAAAGCUUGCUUUUCUUGUUGACGACCGGCGCACGGGUGAGUAACGCGUAUCCAACCUGCCUAUAACUAGGGAAUAACCUUGCGAAAGUAAGACUAAUACCCUAUGAUUUCCUUUUAUGACAUCAGAUUAGGAAUAAAGAUUUAUCGGUUAUAGAUGGGGAUGCGUCUGAUUAGCUUGUUGGCGGGGUAACGGCCCACCAAGGCAACGAUAAGUAGGAGUUCUGAGAGGAAGGUCCCCCACAUUGGAACUGAGCCACGGUCCAAACUCCAACGGGAGGCAGCAGUGAGGAAUAUUGGUCAAUGGGCGGAAGCCUGAACCAGCCAAGUAGCGUGCAGGAUGACGGCCCUAUGGGUUGUAAACUGCUUUUAUACAGGAAUAAAGUUAGCCACGUGUGGUUAUUUGGAGGUACUGUAUGAAUAAGGACCGGCUAAUUCCGUGCCAGCCGCCGCUGUAA